rnacentral:piRNA from 1 species
UGCCCCAAUUCAUAGCGAUAACAAGGCC